UUAAAUAAAAUAGUGAACUAUCAAAAUUAGUAUUAUGAAAAUUGUGAAAGAACUAUCAGUUAAUCAGUAUAACUCGAAUGAAAAUUUUUUUUUAGUUGUAUAUUUCAAAAAAAUCAAUCUGAAAUGGCUGAAAAAAAUAAUGUUAAAAAUGAAUAAGAUAAAAUAGAUGGCUCCAUAUAUUUAAAAAUACUAUGGUGAUUCCAACGACGAUGGUGGUGCAAACAGUGUCGUGGUAGUGAUGGCGGUGGUGGCCGUGACGGCGGUGGUAGUGGUGAUGGUGGCGAUGGUGUCCGUGACGGACGUGGCGGCGGUGCCAAAAAGAAAAAUAGAAAUAAGUGCCACAUGUAUCAAAAAAGGAGCUAUACUGUUGUGUCAGAAGCUGCGGCCAAAGCUGCAGCAAAAAACAAUCAACGGGCCAAAAAGGUAGCAGAGAAAUACUCAGCUAUUGCUGAGGCUGCUCUAUCUACCGCUGCAGCUUUGGCCAAUAUUAUUUAAUCAGCUGAACUAUAAUGACUUUUUUCAUGUUAU